UUCCCCCCGCUUUUCUUCAAAGCGCAUAGACCUUUCGCCUUUUACUAAAGAUUUCCGUGGAGAGGCGGAACGGAGAGACUGAAGGUAAUUUUUGCAGGCCCCCUCGUAGUGGAGCCU